CCUACGGGAGGCAGCAGUGGGGAAUAUUGGGCAAUGGACGCAAGUCUGACCCAGCAACGCCGCGUGAAGGAAGAAGGCUUUCGGGUUGUAAACUUCUUUUAAGGGGGAAGAGCAGAAGACGGUACCCCUUGAAUAAGCCACGGCUAACUACGUGCCAGCAGCCGCGGUAAUACGUAGGUGGCAAGCGUUGUCCGGAUUUACUGGGUGUAAAGGGCGUGCAGCCGGGAAGACAAGUCAGAUGUGAAAUCCCGCGGCUCAACCGCGGAACUGCAUUUGAAACUGUUUUUCUUGAGUAUCGGAGAGGUAAUCGGAAUUCCUAGUGUAGCGGUGAAAUGCGUAGAUAUCGCGCAGAACUCCGAUUGCGAAGGCAGCAUGCCGGCUCCACACUGACGCUGAGGCACGAAAGCGUGGGUAUCGAACAGGAUUAGAUACCCGUGUAGUC
rnacentral:rRNA from 1 species